AUUGAACGCUGGCGGCAGGCCUAACACAUGCAAGUCGAGCGGGGCGGCGGACGGGUGAGUAAUGCCUAGGAAUCUGCCUGGUAGUGGGGGAUAACGACCGGAAACGGGCGCUAAUACCGCAUACUAUCAGAUGAGCCUAGGUCGGAUUAGCUAGGUGGUGGGGUAAAGGCCGACCAAGGCGACGAUCCGUAGCUGGUCUGAGAGGAGGAUCAGUCACACUGGAACUGGGACACGGUCCAGACUCCUACGGAGGGAAGCAGGGGGGAAUUUUGGAAAAUGGGCGAAAGCCUGAGCCAGCCAUGCCGCGGGGGUGCAGAAGGUCUUCGGUUUGUAAAGCACUUUAAGUUGGGAGGCGUUACCAACAGAAAAAGCAACGGCUAACUUCGUGCCAGCAGCCGCGGUAAUAC
rnacentral:rRNA from 1 species